AUGUAUCGCUUCAACCCUGGACAAACAGAGGCGGUCACCAACUUCCUGUCGCGCCCCAUCUCCGGCAAACCGAUGCAGCACGGCGCCGAACGCCGCAGCUACCGCGCCGACGUCGAGCCCAAGGACCUCGCCUCCGUGCCCAGGGCCAAGAGCACCAGCGGCCGCUUCUUCUUCACGACGUGCACGGGGGAGAAAGAGCCGGCAGUGCUAUUAGAGCCCGUGAGCCCGCCGCCGCAGAAAAGGCGAGCGCCGGUUGCGGUUGACGCCGACCAGUCGUGGCCUAAGCGCCCACGAGUUGCCACGGCAGAGCAGCAGGCCGUCUCGGCGAGUGACGCGGUGUUGGCUUGGAUUGCAGCGGAAGAGGCAAAACACUCCUGGGCGCUCUUGCGGAGGUACAAGGAACGCCCGAAAUUCCGGCUGGACCAGCUCGAUGGGUACCAGGAGUUCGUUUCCUACACGUUGAACCUGGACAAUUGCGAUGUUGGGAUCUUUGACACCAAAUUCUUUGUAGAUUACCGUGGUCUUAUUUAA
rnacentral:rRNA from 1 species